CCUAAUUGUAGUUGAGAAAAAGGCAAAAAAGGAGAAAGGGUUGGCUCUGUUUUGUCUCUCUCCCUGUUAUCUUGUCUAUCCUGUCCCUCCCUCUCCACCAACUCUAAUCACAACCUCCUCCUAAGCACCCACCUCACAAGGUUUAGAUGGAUUUGGAGACGGAAAACAGGAUAGCUGCAAUUCUUAUGAAAGAGGCAGCAAAAUUGCGGCGACAAGCUGAGGAGGGUGGUGUGCAUGUUUAUCUUAGGCAGCCCAAUGUUAGGGGUCAGCCGAAUUCACGUUUUCCUCACAGCAACUGUUCUUGGUGUACAACAGGGUUAGUUCUGUAGUUGUUUAAGUAUAAAAAAAAUUAUAGUGUGAUUCGAUACUUAUGAAGAGUGUAUGUGUAAUUUAACAUUACUAUAUCUAUAUAGUUUUGAUGCGCACUAGUUUGGUGCCCCCUUCAGCCAA